rnacentral:rRNA from 1 species
UAAAUUACAGUCUUAAUGGAGUUAGGUGGUUGUAUUUAAAAUAAUUAAUAAAAAAAAUUUUAGGGAUUUAAAGUUGAAGUACUUUAUAAGGAAAUAAUAGUUGGUUUUAUAGGUUACAGUAUUGCGAAAGAAUGGUGAAAUAGAUGAAAUUGAAAUUUAUAGGAAGUAGAUUUAUUUAAUUUUACCUUGUGUAUCAGGGUUUAUUAAAAUUUGUUGUUCAUAUCAAUUUUCCCGGUUUGGGGAGAGUUAAUUUGAUUUGUUGGUUAAUGUUGGAUAAUUAUCAAUAAAAUCAAAAUUGAAGUGAAAUGUUAUUCGUUCCUCAAGGUAUCUGGUUUCUCUAGAAAUAAAUUUAAUUUAGUUUGUUCGUUAAUUAAUUGUUUAAUUUAAGUAAAUAUUUAAGGGGGCGGGGUAAUGGUCUUAGGGAUAAGCUUGGGAUUAUAUUAUUAUAACGGUGAAAGAUUUAUGGGAAAUGUAGGUUUAGAAAUAGCCACCAUUAUUCAGAGGGUGUUAUAAUUUAUCAAAAAUGAUACAUGAUUUCUUUGUUGUUUAGGUACUUUAUGGGGAUUUUUAAUUUAAUUAAUUAUUUAAAUUAAUAAUGGUAGAAUUAGUAUAGUGAAAGUGUAUUAAAUUAUAGUUAUGUUAGGUUAUACUAAGGAAUUAGGCAAAUUCAGUGCUUGCCUGUUUAACAAAAACAUGGUUUCAUGUUAAUAAAUUUGAGAUCUGACCUGCCCACUGAAUGGAUUUGAAGGGCCGCGGUAUUUUGACCGUGCAAAGGUAGCAUAAUCAUUAGUCUCUUAAUUGGAGGCUGGAAUGAAUGGUUGGACAAGGUACUGGCUGUCUCGGUGUUAUUGAGUUUAGAAGUUAACUUUUAAGUCAAAAGGCUUAAAUGAUUUUAUGGGACGAGAAGACCCUAUAGAGCUUUAUUGUAAAUUGGAUAUUAAGUAAGUAGCUGUGCUUAAAUUUAAUAUAUGAGUUAUGAUUUUAUUGGGGUGAUAGGAAGAUAAAUUAAACUCUUUUUAGAGGUAUACACAGGUUGGUGGAUUUAAUAUUGAUCCAUAAGUUGUGAUUAUAAGAUUAAGUUACCUUAGGGAUAACAGCGUAAUGUUUUUUGAGAGUUCUUAUCGACAAAAAAGAUUGCGACCUCGAUGUUGGAUUAAGAAAAAAUUUGGGUGCAGAAGUUCAAUAUUUAGGUCUGUUCGACCUUUAAAUUCUUACAUGAUCUGAGUUCAGACCGGCGUAAGCCAGGUCGGUUUCUAUCUUUAAAAAUUGUUAUAUAUUUUAGUACGAAAGGACCAAGUAUUUAAGAAAGUUCUUUGUAGUAUUGAUUACGAUUAAUU